UGGAAGAGAAGAUGACCUGGCCGGUUGUCUACAAGAUGAGUGGAAGUGAGGCAGCCCCUGAAGCGGUACCAGUCUGGCACUGAGAUCCCAGGGAUCCAGCUGGCAUUCCCAGGUUGCAGCUUUGAUCUCCUUCAGGUGCAGCUGUGGACGUGCAGGGCAGCACUCACAGGGGAGCAGUUUCCCAGAGUGGUGUGAGCAGCAGGGACUCGCUGCCCUCGCUUGUGGCAACUGGGCCUGGAAGGAUCCCAAUCCCUCAAGCCCAGGCCCCGCUGGCCCGCCUGCUUGUCCCGGUGCUGCUGGCGCUCGGCUGGCUCGUGGGCUGUGCCCUCAUGGUCUACAUUGUCUUCUCCUGAGGCAGGAAGGGAUGGCAGUGUCACCCACAGCCCUGGGGUAAGUGAUGGCAGUGUCACCCACAGCCCUGGGGUGAUGGUGUCACCCACAGCACCCUGCAGUGA
rnacentral:lncRNA from 1 species